rnacentral:rRNA from 1 species
AUUGAACGCUGGCGGCAGGCCUAACACAUGCAAGUCGAGCGGAUGAAGGGAGCUUGCUCCUGGAUUCAGCGGCGGACGGGUGAGUAAUGCCUAGGAAUCUGCCUGGUAGUGGGGGAUAACGUCCGGAAACGGGCGCUAAUACCGCAUACGUCCUGAGGGAGAAAGUGGGGGAUCUUCGGACCUCACGCUAUCAGAUGAGCCUAGGUCGGAUUAGCUAGUUGGUGGGGUAAAGGCCUACCAAGGCGACGAUCCGUAACUGGUCUGAGAGGAUGAUCAGUCACACUGGAACUGAGACACGGUCCAGACUCCUACGGGAGGCAGCAGUGGGGAAUAUUGGACAAUGGGCGAAAGCCUGAUCCAGCCAUGCCGCGUGUGUGAAGAAGGCCUUCGGUUUGUAAAGCACUUUAAGUUGGGAGGAAGGGCAGUAAGUUAAUACCUUGCUGUUUUGACGUUACCAACAGAAUAAGCACCGGCUAACUUCGUG